GACGAACGCUGGCGGCGUGCCUAAUACAUGCAAGUCGAGCGAAUGGAUUAAGAGCUUGCUCUUAUGAAGUUAGCGGCGGACGGGUGAGUAACACGUGGGUAACCUGCCCAUAAGACUGGGAUAACUCCGGGAAACCUGGGCUAAUACCGGAUAACAUUUUGAACCGCAUGGUUCGAAAUUGAAAGGCGGCUUCGGCUGUCACUUAUGGAUGGACCCGCGUCGCAUUAGCUAGUUGGUGAGGUAACGGCUCACCAAGGCAACGAUGCGUAGCCGACCUGGGAGGGUGAUUGGCCACACUGGGACUGAGACACGGCCCAGACUCCUACGGGAGGCAGCAGUAGGGAAUCUUCCGCAAUGGACGAAAGUCUGACGGAGCAACGCCGCGUGAGUGAUGAAGGCUUUCGGGUCGUAAAACUCUGUUGUUAGGGAAGAACAAGUGCUAGUUGAAUAAGCUGGCACCUUGACGGUACCUAACCAGAAAGCCACGGCUAACUACGUGCCAGCAGCCGCAGUAA
rnacentral:rRNA from 1 species